rnacentral:piRNA from 1 species
UAGAAAGCCUCUGUUUGCAAAUGGCUGGGA